rnacentral:lncRNA from 1 species
CGAGUGUGGUUCCCACCCCCAGGGAAGCUCGGCUUGUUAUCAAACAUAGACGGUUUGUUCUGGGUUUUUCUUUUUUAAGGGUGGUUUUAAGUAGCAUCUUUCUUUGGAGAGGGGCAGGGAGAUGGAGAUUACUUGCUCCAUGACUCGAAUAAGAAAGUUAUUGAUCUGCCUUGUGCUGCGGGUAGAAAUAAAAGGCCGGCCUCACUUACAACCUAAUGGGA